ACUCCUACGGGAGGCAGCAGUAGGGAAUCUUCCACAAUGGGCGCAAGCCUGAUGGAGCAACACCGCGUGAGUGAAGAAGGGUUUCGGCUCGUAAAGCUCUGUUGUUAAAGAAGAACACGUAUGAGAGUAACUGUUCAUACGUUGACGGUAUUUAACCAGAAAGUCACGGCUAACUACGUGCCAGCAGCCGCGGUAAUACGUAGGUGGCAAGCGUUAUCCGGAUUUAUUGGGCGUAAAGAGAGUGCAGGCGGUUUUCUAAGUCUGAUGUGAAAGCCUUCGGCUUAACCGGAGAAGUGCAUCGGAAACUGGAUAACUUGAGUGCAGAAGAGGGUAGUGGAACUCCAUGUGUAGCGGUGGAAUGCGUAGAUAUAUGGAAGAACACCAGUGGCGAAGGCGGCUACCUGGUCUGCAACUGACGCUGAGACUCGAAAGCAUGGGUAGCGAACAGGAUUAGAUACCCUGGUAGGAAAGCG
rnacentral:rRNA from 1 species